rnacentral:rRNA from 1 species
UACGGGGGGAGCAAGCGUUGUUCGGAUUUAUUGGGCGUAAAGGGCUCGUAGGCGGCCAACUAAGUCGGACGUGAAAUCCCUCGGCUCAACUGAGGAACUGCACGGGAAACUGCCUGGCUUGAGUUCGGGAGAGGGAAGCGGAAUUCCGGGUGUAGCGGUGAAAUGCGUAGAUAUCCGGAGGAACACCGGUGGCGAAGGCGGCUUCCUGGACCGACACUGACGCUGAGGCGCGAAAGCUAGGGGAGCAAACGGG